rnacentral:rRNA from 1 species
GACGAACGCUGGCGGCGUGCCUAAUACAUGCAAGUAGAACGCAGAAGGAGGAAGUUGCUUCUCCGGACGAGUGGCGAACGCGUGAGUAACGCGUAGGUAACCUGCCUGGUAGCGGGGGAGAACUAUUGGAAACGAUAGCUAAUACCGCGUAAUAUCAGUUAUUGCAUGAUAACUGUUUGAAAGGUGCAAUUGCACCACUACCAGAUGGACCUGCGUUGUAUUAGGUAGUUGGUGGGGGAACGGCUCACCAAGGCGACGAUACAUAGCCGACCUGCGAGGGGGAUCGGCCAACCUGGGAAUGGGGCACGGCCCAAGACCCUUAGGGAGGGAGCAGGAGGGGAACUUCGGCAAUGGAGGGAAGUCUGGACGAGGCACGCCGGCGGAGUGAAGAAGGGUCUCGGAUCGUAAAGCUCUGUUGUAAGGGAAGAACGAGUGUGAGAGUGGAAAGUUCACGCUGUGACGGUAUCUAACCAGAAAGGGACGGCUAACUACGUG